CAGCCGCCACGGGAAUACGUAGGUGGCGAGCGUUGUCCGGAUUUAUUGGGCGUAAAGGGAGUGUAGGCGGUCUUUUAAGUCUGAUGUGAAAGCCCACGGCUCAACCGUGGAGGGUCAUUGGAAACUGGGAGACUUGAGUGCAGAAGAGGAGAGUGGAAUUCCACGUGUAGCGGUGAAAUGCGUAGAGAUGUGGAGGAACACCAGUGGCGAAGGCGACUCUCUGGUCUGUAACUGACGCUGAGGAGCGAAAGCGUGGGGAGCGAACAGGAUUAGAUACCCGCGUAGUCCCUGUCUCUUAUAC
rnacentral:rRNA from 1 species